rnacentral:rRNA from 1 species
GAUGAACGCUAGCGACAGGCUUAACACAUGCAAGUCGAGGGGCGAGCGGGGUGUAGCAAUACACCGCCGGCGACCGGCGCACGGGUGAGUAAACGCGUGUGCAACUUGCCUAUCAGAGGGGGAGUAACCCGGCGAAAGUCGGACUAAUACCGCAUGAAGCAGGGGUCCCGCAUGGGGAUAUUUGCUAAAAGAAUUCAUCGCUGAUAGAUAGGCAUGCGUUCCAUUAGGCAGUUGGCGGGGUAACGGCCCACCAAACCGACGAUGGAUAGGGGUUCUGAGAGGAAGGUCCCCCACAUUGGUACUGAGACACGGACCAAACUCCUACGGGAGGCAGCAGUGAGGAAUAUUGGUCAAUGGGCGUAAGCCUGAACCAGCCAAAGUCGCGUGAGGGAUGAAGGUUCUAAUGGAUCGUAAAACCUCUUUUAAUAAGGGGAAUAAAAGUGCGGGGACGUGGUCCCGUUUUUGUAUGUACCCUUAUGAAUAAGGAUCGGCUAACUCCGUGCCAGCAGCCGCAGU